AGAGACGGCCAUUCCUCUAGGGAGAAGAGUUGAAUGAAGCCUGCAGAGAGGCCUCCUGGGAACAGUGCAUGGAGUCUCUCCACCCAGUCAUUCACUUCCUCCUCUACGUGCUCGCCUACUCCUGCGUCUACUCCUGUCUGUAUUUGUUGGUUUAUUUUAUUAGCAUCUUUACUGAGGAUUAGGCAGCCCGCUGGACACAAGCCUCUUUGGGUACAGAAAACCCUACCCACUGCCCAUGGUGAGAUCUAAGACCCAACUAACAUUGGCCAAAGAAGGACAAGGGUGGGAGGGGUUCCAGCCAUCACCAGGCUUAUGAAGGGACAAAGGCUGGCCUGGCAGACACAUAAAUACGGUUACUAACUCAGAGACUGGGAAAGCCCCGAGGCUACUGUUCACCUUCUAGACCUGCAGCCAUGGAGAAAGGCGGCUUUCUUUCCGCAGCAUAUGGGCUGCCCCUAGAGAAAUGGCCAAUUUCUUUCAAAUGCUGUAAACUGGAAAAAUCUAAAAUGCUCAUCAGAUAAACCAAUUUAAAAAAACU
rnacentral:lncRNA from 1 species